GCCCGUGUAGCUCAGCGGUAGAGCAUUGUACUUAUGAGGUUAACUGACCACUUUGUGGUAUGCAAGGGUCUCGAGUUCGAAUCUCGGCAUGGGCA